AUGAUUUCAAUUGCAAUUGUGAAAUUUUUUUUCCUGUUUAUGCAAGGCUUUCAUGAAUUAAUUGGUGGAGGGAAUUAUGGUUUGAACUGUAUUUUCUGGUUUUUUUAUGAAUUGGUGUAUAUACUUGAUGAGUCAAUAGAAGAUGAAGAUGUGAUUUUGGCUGAAGCGUUUGAGGGAAAUGGAGUGACUUAG